rnacentral:rRNA from 1 species
UAUCCGCUUUGGACUAGNUUUGCCAGCGGUCUGUCCUAGAGACUUGACUUUUGUUAUGUCCAGCCUGGUCUACACAGGCAGCCCUCCCCUGUGGGGGCCAGUGGCAUGGCUGGUGGAAUGGCUUGCAAUCGACCCGUCUUGAAACACGGACCAAGGAGUCUAACAUGUAUGCGAGUAUAAGGGUGGCAAACCCGUAUGCGCAAUGAAAGUGAUUUUCGUCGAUUGAGAAUGGCCUGAUGACCAGACAAGCAAUAUAUGUCCCUCGUACGGCCAUUGCCCAAGUUCCGUGGUACUACCCAUGAACAUGGAGUUGGAGCAUACAUGCUAGGACCCGAAAGAUGGUGAACUAUGCCUGGACAAAGCGAAGCCAAAGGAAACUCUGGUGGAGGCUUGUAGCGAUUCUGACGUGCAAAUCGAUCGUCUGAUCUGGGUAUAGGGGCGAAAGACUAAUCGAACCAUCUCAUAGCUGGUUCCUGCCGAAGUUUCCCUCAGGAUAGCAGAGACCUAGUGGAAGUUGCAUGUGGUAAAGCGAAUGAUUAUUGAUCCUGGGGCUCAAAUGGGCCUCAGUCUAUUCUCAAACUGUGAAUGCGUGCGGUUGGACUGUGCUUAGCGAUAGAAGCCCUGCCAGCAAUGCUUCAGUCUCUAGUGGGCCGUUUCUGGUAAGCAGAACUGGCGAUGCGGGAUGAACCGAAAGUGAGGUUAAAGUGCCAGAAUGCACACUAACCAGAGAUAAAAGGUGUAUGUGCAUGGACACAGCAGGGCAGUGGCCAUGGAGGUUGGCAUCUGCUAAGGAGUGUGUAACAACUCACCUGCCUAAUGUACUUGCCCUGAAAAUGGAUGGCGCUCAAGUGUGUUACUCAUACCUCACCAUCAGUCUCAAGUUAAUAAGAAUGGACUGAUGUGUAGGCAGGCGUAAAGGUCAAUCUUCGAAG